GAUGAACGCUGGCGGCGUGCUUAACACAUGCAAGUCGAACGAAGAUGCCGGAGUGCUUGCACUUUGGCAGACUGAGUGGCGGACGGGUGAGUAACGCGUGGGUAACCUGCCUUAUACAGGGGGAUAACAGUUGGAAACGACUGCUAAUACCGCAUAAGCGCACGGUAUCGCAUGAUACAGUGUGAAAAACUCCGGUGGUAUAAGAUGGACCCGCGUCUGAUUAGCUUGUUGGUGAGGUAACGGCCCACCAAGGCGACGAUCAGUAGCCGGCCUGAGAGGGUGAACGGCCACAUUGGGACUGAGACACGGCCCAAAACUCCUACGGGAGGCAGCAGUGGGGAAUAUUGCACAAUGGGGGAAACCCUGAUGCAGCGACGCCGCGUGAGUGAUGAAGUAUUUCGGUAUGUAAAACUCUAUCAGCAGGGAAGAUAAUGACGGUACCUGACUAAGAAGCACCGGCUAAAUACGUG
rnacentral:rRNA from 1 species